AUGGUGGGGCAAAUUUGGGCUCAAAACAAACACAAUCUUGGUACUACAGAAUUGCUCCAAACGGAACAGAGCUUCUUCUGCUACAAUCUAUCCAUUGGUUCUGAGGAAAAGCAUGAUUCAGAACUUAAUGGUGAGCUACUAUUUACUAUAACACCUGCAUCAAACAGACCACAGGUCAACUAUGUGCGUGUAAAAAAAAUUGACAUCUCCACCACAUGUGCCAUAUUCCAUAAUCAAACCAACUUUCCCAUAUUACAGAAAGCAUGCCCCAUAGCUAAUAUUCAAAACUGUUGCAUGUGGUCCAUGUGCAUAUGGCAUACUUAUUAUGUCAUUUGCAAUCAAACACAAUGA
rnacentral:rRNA from 1 species